rnacentral:lncRNA from 1 species
AUGCGAAGAAUUCGCCCUAGAGAGGCAGCACAUCACGCAAAGAAUGUACCUUUUGUGCAUAAAGGGUUGCAGCAAGCAACACACGCCUUUUUAAGAGACGAUACGAUACGGCAACCGCUACAACCACCGUAUCACGGCCCUUAUGAAAUUUUGGCUCGAGUUAACCAGAAGCUUUACACGGUGUUGAUGUUACAGAAUUCCAGCAGGACACAGCGCAAGCUUCGCAGGUCCCUGAAUUAAGAACAUACCCGGGCGCUAAAGCCAAACAACGAGUCAACUUGUAGAACUCUGGAGGGGAGUACUUUGGCGCUCCGACUGGCGGUGGUGCAAUCAUUACAUGUGAUUGGACAGCUGUCCCGCCAAUAGAAAGCCGCGACAUCCCGGGCAGAGGAAAAAGGGACUAGGGAGCGGGCAGAGGAGUUAGUUACUAAAGAGAGGGGAUAAAGAAAAGAAAGACACAUGUACCCGUUGUAAAAGAUUUGUUAUUUCAACGUUGUUAAAAUAUAUCGUUGUUAUUUGUUA